UAGUAUUGUUGGUAGUAGUGACCAAGUAUCAAUCGAUGAACCAACGAAUUCCGAGAUCUUAAGAGUUAACAAGACACAUAAUAGUUUAAAUAUAUUUUAUUGUUAAAGUAAAUUUAUAUUUCUUUUUACUGACUACGGUCAUUAUGCAAGGCUAAAAACAGAAUAGGCUUAAUAACUAUUGAGCAAAUCUGAAUUUUGCAUUAAUCGGUUCAGAAGUGUUUUUUAUUACAUGCAGUAUCGAAAUUCUAUAUAAAUAUGAUAACGGAUAUCACGACGUUUAAUCGAACAUUUACAAAGUACAAUGAUGCUUCCUCAAGGACGAUUAGAGAGAUACUUAGUAUUAUGUAUUUUUUUAAAAAAAAAAGAUAAUAUAAUCAAAGAGCUCGUCUCAAUUGACAGGCAUUCUGUUUACUGGUUAGAUGUUCAGCACUGUAAUAACAAUCUUUCUAAUUUUUUUCUUCUCAAGAUAGCUACAGUUUUUAUUUUAUAAUACUAAUUGAAAACCGAAAAUAAUAAAAAUCUUUGCUGGUGGAAAUCUUCUGGCACUGUAAGGACUAAGACAACUAACUCUCUAAUUGCUGGCAUAAAUAUGUAGAAUUUUGAAAG